GAUGAACGCUGGCGGCAUGCCUAAUACAUGCAAGUCGAACGAGAGGAAGGAAAGCUUGCUUUCCUGAAUCUAGUGGCGAACGGGUGAGUAACACGUAGGUAACCUGCCCAUGUGCCCGGGAUAACUUCUGGAAACGGAUGCUAAAACCGGAUAGGUAGCAGACAAGCAUUUGACUGCUAUUAAAGUGGCCUUGGCCACGAACAUGGAUGGACCUGCGGUGCAUUAGCUAGUUGGUGAGGCAACGGCCCACCAAGGCGACGAUGCAUAGCCGGCCUGAGAGGGCGGACGGCCACAUUGGGACUGAGACACGGCCCAAACUCCUACGGGAGGCAGCAGUAGGGAAUUUUCGUCAAUGGGGGGAACCCUGAACGAGCAAUGCCGCGUGAGUGAGGAAGGUCUUCGGAUCGUAAAGCUCUGUUGUAAGAGAAAAACGGCACUCAUAGGGAAUGAUGAGUGAGUGAUGGUAUCUUACCAGAAAGUCACGGCUAACUACGUGCCAGCCGCCGCGGUAAGAC
rnacentral:rRNA from 1 species